AAAGUCGUAACAAGGUUUCCGUAGGUGAACCUGCGGAAGGAUCAUUAAUAGAAGCAACCUAGGAGCCUGAAACACGGCCACCGGGCAUACCUUCCACCCUCUGUUUAUUACACUUUGUUGCUUUGGUAGGCCUGCCUCCGGGCUGCUGGCUCCGGCCGGCGAGCGCCUGCCAGAGGACCUAAACUCUGUUUGUCUGUAACGUCUGAGUACUAUAUAAUAGUUAAAACUUUCAACAACGGAUCUCUUGGUUCUG
rnacentral:misc_RNA from 1 species